GCAAUUUAUACCGUGAAACUGCGAAUGGCUCAUUAAAUCAGUUAUCGUUUAUUUGAUAGUACCUUACUACUUGGAUAACCGUGGUAAUUCUAGAGCUAAUACAUGCUAAAAACCCUGACUUCGGAAAGGGUGUAUUUAUUAGAUAAAAAACCAAUGCCCUUUGGGCUCUUUGGUGAUUCAUGAUAACUUAACGGAUCGCAUGGCCUUGCGCCGGCGACGGUUCAUUCAAAUUUCUGCCCUAUCAACUUUCGAUGGUAAGGUAUUGGCUUACCAUGGUUUCAACGGGUAACGGGGAAUUAGGGUUCGAUUCCGGAGAGGGAGCCUGAGAAACGGCUACCACAUCCAAGGAAGGCAGCAGGCGCGCAAAUUACCCAAUCCCGACACGGGGAGGUAGUGACAAUAAAUACUGAUACAGGGCUCUUUUGGGUCUUGUAAUCGGAAUGAGUACAAUUUAAACCUCUUAACGAGGAACAAUUGGAGGGCAAGUCUGGUGCCAGCAGCCGCGGUAAUUCCAGCUCCAAUAGCGUAUAUUAAAGUUGUUGCAGUUAAAAAGCUCGUAGUUGAAUCUUGGGCCUGGCUGGCCGGUCCGCCUCACCGCGUGUACUGGUCUGGCCGGGCCUUUCCUUCUGGAGAACCCCAUGCCCUUCAGUGGGUGUGUGGGGGAACCAGGACUUUUACUUUGAAAAAAUUAGAGUGUUCAAAGCAGGCCUUUGCUCGAAUACGUUAGCAUGGAAUAAUAGAAUAGGACGUGCGGUCCUAUUUUGUUGGUUUCUAGGACCGCCGUAAUGAUUAAUAGGGAUAGUCGGGGGCAUCAGUAUUCAAUUGUCAGAGGUGAAAUUCUUGGAUUUAUUGAAGACUAACUACUGCGAAAGCAUUUGCCAAGGAUGUUUUCAUUAAUCAGUGAACGAAAGUUAGGGGAUCGAAGACGAUCAGAUACCGUCGUAGUCUUAACCGUAAACUAUGCCGACUAGGGAUCGGGCGAUGUUUCUAUCUUGACUCGCUCGGCACCUUCCGAGAAAUCAAAGUUUUUGGGU
rnacentral:rRNA from 2 species